CGCUCGGCCACCUGCCGGGUCGGCUCCGCGGCGGCCGCUGCCGUCGCCGCCCGCCGAGGGCGGGACGAAGGGUCGCGGGCUCCUGCAAACAACAGGUGCGCUGCGCCCACCCGCCCGGGGGCCGCUCGGCGCGCCGGGCCUCCGCCCCCUCCCCGAGCCUGGGGACGCGAGAAGGUCACCUUCUGAAAGGAUCUGAAGCCUUAAGAACUUCCUUCAGCCUUUGUUGUAAGAGCACAGGCUCCGGACGCGCAGGCUCAGCGGCCAUGGCUCACGGGCCCAGCUGCUCCGUGGGGGAUCUUCCCGGACCGGGGCACGAACCCGUGUCCCCUGCAUCGGCAGGCGGACUCUCAACCACUGCGCCACCAGGGGAGCCCUGGAUGUAGAAUUCUUGAUUUACUGUUCCUUUUCUUCCUGUACCUAAAAUAUGUCUUUCACUGACUUCUGGUCUCCAUUAUUUCUGAUGAGAAGUCAACUGUUAGUUAUAUUGUUUCUUUAUAUGAAAUAAAUCAUAUUUUCUCACUGCUUUCAAGAUUUUCCCAACAGUUUGACUCUUAAGUGUCUAGGUGUGGUUCUCUUUGUGCUUAUCCUGGGUUUUACUGAAGUUCUUGAAUCUGUAGGUUAAUCUUUUUCAUCAAAUUUAGUAAGUUUUCAGCUAUUAUUUUCCCCAAUAUUUCUUAUGUCCUCCCCUCCUCCACAGACUCCCAUUACAUAUAUUGACAUGCUUGAUGUCCCACGGAUUUCAGUAUAAAUCUUGCCUAUAACAAAAUGGGGCCCUCUCUUUACAUUUUUUCUGAUUCCAUUUAAUUUUCAAAACUUAGUUCACUGGCUAUUAGUUAAGAAUUAGGUAUUAUAUUCUUUCAGAAAUAGUAAGGAGAAUAGUAUUUACAUCUUUGUUCUGAAUACAGAGGAACAUAAGAGAUGACAAAAGUGAAAUAGUAAUAAGUGAACUGAUAUGAAAUGGAAGAAAACCGUUUCCAGUUACAAAAUAAGAAUUCUCUUCAUAAAUAGUAACUAAAAAGUAAAAAUGAGAGAAUGACAGUGGAAGUGUUCCUCUUGAGACAAUGUUUAUAAAACCUUAAAUGUAAUCUUUAAUGAAAAAGUCAUAUGCAUUAUAUAAAAAGGGGUCAUUAUGAGUGAUGUGGAGAUACUUACAUAUGCAUUCUUAAAAAUACCACAUCCCUUAUACAGAUUUAAAAUAUUUUUUAGCUACAUUUAUGAGCCUUUCAAAAGAAUGGCGCUAUGUCAACUAAAGGACAACCAAUAAAUAUAAUUAGUUCUUCAUCAACACAGUAAGGUUAACAACAAUAUUAAAAUACUUUCCCUCAUAGGCAAAUGUGUAAUUAGCAAACAAUGUACAGCACAGAAACAAGAAAAAGUGUUUUAAGUUUAGUUAUUUUGGUAGGUUUUUCUAAUACACAUAAUUGUCAACAACUUAUUAUAAAAAACCCUACAUAUACAAUUAAUAAAUACUUGAUCAAGUCUUUUAAAAUAUAAUCAGAAUGAAAUGUGUAGAAAAAGACAUUUCAAAGUCAUAGCAGUUACUACUAUCACAAUAUUUAAUCAUUUUUACAAUAGGUCUGCUGGUUCAUUUCAAUUCAAUCCAUUCUCAGAACCAUCACAUUUCUUGCUGAAUUUGAUUUAGAGCAAAAGCAAGUUGCUUAAUUUUUAUUUCCAUUGCUUUUUUGUUCUUGCAUGUUUCUUCCAGAAGUCCACGCAUUUCUUCUUCAACUUGAUGAACCUAAAUCAACAUAUAAAUUUUAUAACAUUUACAUUUCUUAAUGAAAAUGUAUUUUAAAAAAUGCAAAAAAGUGAAAAAUUUAUUCUUAUACAUUUUGUAUUUUGUGAUGUCCAUUUAAAGCAGAGGUUAAUAAAAUGUUAACUUGUUCAAAUACUAAUAGGGAAAAUGUUAUACUGUAUACAAAGUACUUACAUGUGUAUUAUCCAUUUAUUUCUUAUAGGUUCUUGUGAUUAACACAUGGUAAUUUAUUUUAACUCUAUUUUAUAAUUUAGAAAACUUGUUCAAGUUGUGUAGCUUCUCAGGAGCAUAUUUGGAUGAUACCCAGUCUUCUGACUUAAUCUUUCCACUGUCCUGUGCUGAUUAUGAAUGCUGAAUCAUGAAUUUGACUUUAAAAACUGAAACAACCUCCGUUUCCAUCUAAAAUUGCUGUUGGUGGUUAUAAAUGACCAUAUUUUUGAGAGAUCAUCUUAUGAUUUUAUUGUUAACCUACAUUCUCCUAGGAUUCAAUGUAUUUGAUACUAUUAAUUUCUGCUUGAAACUCUCUCUCCUAUCAUACAACACUCCUGAGAGUAUUACCAAUAUCAUCAUCCCUUUCUGUUUACUUCCCUCUUCCUAAUCUCUAAUACAGACUUCCUAAUUUUUUUCCCUUUGAAAACAUUUUUCCUAAUUUAAAUGAUCACCUCUAUGUGAUGCCUUACAAUUUUUUUUCAUGAUUACCGCAUUUAAGCUUUGGUGAAAUUUUUCUAUUCUCUAACAAACACCUCCCUUUGAUAUUACAUCAUAUUGGCAAGAUGUCCAUAAUCAAACACAGUAUUUUCCUUUUAGCUAAAUGCCUAAUUUUAUACUUUAUUUAGUAAUACCUAAUGUACUCUUGUUCAACGAUCGGUAGAUUUUAAAUAAAAUAUCUGAAACAUCUGUUAACUUGAAAUGAAAUAAAGAACUAAAUUUUGAACAAGUUA